rnacentral:rRNA from 1 species
ACGCUAGCUACAGGCUUAACACAUGCAAGUCGAGGGGAAACGGCAUUGAGUGCUUGCACUCUUUGGACGUCGACCGGCGCACGGGUGAGUAACGCGUAUCCAACCUUCCCAUUACCGUGGGAUAACCUGCCGAAAGGCAGACUAAUACCGCAUAGUCUUCGAUGACGGCAUCAGAUUUGAAGUAAAGAUUUAUCGGUAAUGGAUGGGGAUGCGUCUGAUUAGCUUGUUGGCGGGGUAACGGCCCACCAAGGCAACGAUCAGUAGGGGUUCUGAGAGGAAGGUCCCCCACAUUGGAACUGAGACACGGUCCAAACUCCUACGGGAGGCAGCAGUGAGGAAUAUUGGUCAAUGGACGGAAGUCUGAACCAGCCAAGUAGCGUGCAGGAUGACGGCCCUAUGGGUUGUAAACUGCUUUUGUAUGGGGAUAAAGUUAGGGACGUGUCCCUAUUUGCAGGUACCAUACGAAUAAGGACCGGCUAAUUCCGUGCCAGCAGCCGCGGUAAUACGGAAGGUCCAGGCGUUAUCCGGAUUUAUUGGGUUUAAAGGGAGCGUAGGCUGGAGAUUAAGUGUGUUGUGAAAUGUAGACGCUCAACGUCUGAAUUGCAGCGCAUACUGGUUUCCUUGAGUACGCACAACGUUGGCGGAAUUCGUCGUGUAGCGGUGAAAUGCUUAGAUAUGACGAAGAACUCCGAUUGCGAAGGCAGCUGACGGGAGCGCAACUGACGCUUAAGCUCGAAGGUGCGGGUAUCAAACAGGAUUAGAUACCCUGGUAGUCCGCACAGUAAACGAUGGAUGCCCGCUGUUGGUACCUGGUAUCAGCGGCUAAGCGAAAGCAUUAAGCAUCCCACCUGGGGAGUACGCCGGCAACGGUGAAACUCAAAGGAAUUGACGGGGGCCCGCACAAGCGGAGGAACAUGUG